AGAGAGAAGAAGAGAAAGGGAACACGUGAUUGGACAUCAAAUACAUCUUUUCCUUCCUAAUCCCACCACGACCACGACAUAUAUCUCUCUUCUAUAUAUUUUCUUCUCUUCGUUUAUAGAAAGCAUCUAAAGUAAUUUUUCCAUUUUAAGAAAAAUAUGAACAAGUCUUUAAAUAAAUAAUGAAGGGACAACAACUAUGUAUGUAUUGUUACAUAAGGCUAAAACGUUGAAUCACAC
rnacentral:lncRNA from 1 species